rnacentral:tRNA from 1 species
AUCUUAGUAGUGUACAUAACACACUUCAUUUUCGUUGAUGAGAAGAAAAUUAUUUUUCCUGAGAUA